AUGCACUCUGUCCUAACCCCAACCCAUAUUUCUGACCUCCACAUAUCCACCUCCCUCCCCCACACCUCAUUACUGCUCGUCAAACUGAAGCGCACGAACGCAGGAACGACGGACCACAUGCAGCAAGCCAAGGCGCUGGCACCGUGGCUGACGGCGACGGCCACUGCCAUGAUCAGCAGCACCGACGACGUGCGGAGGACGGUGCAGGUGAAGCCGCUUGUGGUGGUGGGGCGGCGGGAGUGCUGCAUGGCGCACGUGGCCCGGUGCCUGCUCGUGGGGCAGGGCGCGAACCCGGCGGUGCUGGAGGUCAGCGACGACGCCGACCCGGCGGCGCUCGUCUUCGCGCUCCGGCCCAAGGACAACAGCACCAAGGUGGCCACCGAAGUCGCCUUCCCGGUGGUGUUCAUCGGAGGCAGGCUGCUGGGCGGGCUGGACAGCCUCAUGGCCAUGCACAUGGCCGGCGAGCUCGUGCCGGUCUUGAAGCAGGCAAGAGCCCUCUGGCUUUGA
rnacentral:rRNA from 1 species